GUGGUUGGAGUCAAAGUGCAAUUAGCAAUUGGGAGAGGAAUCCUUGCAAUACAUGUUCCUGACAGAAGACUUGUAUUGGUGGACACUGCAGCAUUAAUAAUGCCUUGACUAUUUGUGGACACUUGAGCAAUCGUUGUGUUGCCACAAAUAAUCGUUACAUUUGCUCCACUCACUCCGACGCCUGGGGCAUUACUUCCCGGUACGGAGCAAGACAAACUCCCAAUAUAGUUAAAUUAAUAUUCGUUGGUAUAAUCGGUGGUACUUGACCACCAACAGGUGGUACAAUCGGUGGUAUACUAAUGGGUGGUACAAUCGGUGGUAUAUUAAUGGGUGGUACAAUGGGUUGGCCAAGAAUAGGACCAACAAUUGGACUGAGAAUAGAACCAACAAUCGGUAAUUGACCAAGACCAACAUGUGCUACUUGACCGACGGGUGGUACAAUACGUGGUGCAGGUUGCCCCAAAAUGGAACCCACAAGGGGAAUGGGACCCAAAAUGGGACGAAUAAUGGGACCAAUGUUAAUAGGCAAUUGAGCAUGGGCUAGAGGACUGGUGGUGAUGAUGGAAAGUAGAAUAAAAAGGGAAACAACACACAUUUUUGAAGACAUGACGAUUUGAUAAUUUUUAUUCUGUUCAAUAUACCCUUUAUAUAGUGCUCCUUUUUAUUUACUCCACCCCUACCAUAACUUACCCCACCCCCAACCUAUAUAAAUGAUUAAAUAUAUUAUCUUUCAUCCCUAAAUAAGACUUACAAAUAUCUCACAUAUAUCAUCAUUAGUUAGGUUGAAACUCAUCAACUUGAACAACAUUGGGACCAUACAAAUUAAUUAAUUCAAUAUCAUUUGACUUGUCAUAAGAAGAAAUUUUUUUUGUAAGUUGAGGCCAAAAGGCCUUUGGUUUGCCCAUAGGAUCUAUUUUGAUGGAAUAAAUAACUCCACUUGGUUUGGGUGUCAAAAAAAAAAACAAUAAAAAUAACAACAACAAAAGAAGAUUUUUGAAAAUAGUUGUGUGAUUGUUAAUCACUUCAUUAAAAAAAAAUUAAUGUUAUAUCAUGUUUUUAAUUAUAAUAAACUACACUAUAUAAUAAUAACAACAAUAACAAUAACAACAACAACAACAACAACAACAACAACAAUAAUAAUAAUAAUAAUAAUAAUAAUAAUCAAGGGCAAAAAGCUAAUCUACUUGGUCAACAUAAAAUGACUUUUAAGUUUUUAUAAAAAAAGAACCCCUCACCUAUCUUUUAGAUUUUGGCAUAAAAUAAGUCAUUUUGGACUUAAAAUAAGUCACUUUGAUAAUUGUCAAACACUCAAAUAAAUCAAAAACUGAAUUUUAAAUCAGUUUGACCAGCUUUUAAGCCCAUUCCAAUAGGCUCUAAGUGUGUAAAUGACUUUUCUAUACAAGUUCAAGAUGAAAUUUAUGUCUUUUUCCAUUUGAAAUACCAUCACAAUACUUUAUUUCUCACGCCAUGUAUUCAUGAUAUAAUAAAAGAUAUAUAUAUUAAAUAUUGAAUAAGAAAUUUAUGGGUGCCUCAACUAUGUUAAAAAAAGACAUAUGUCUUAGGUCCCCCUAAUUUAAGGGGCCUCAUUUUUAAUAAUAAUAGGUUAUAAGUUAUUGUUUUUAAACAAAUAUUGAAUACUAUUUGUAGAAAAAGUAAAUUUUUUCAUGAAAAAUAAAGAAAUUAUAGAAGAAAUUUGACAUGUUUGAAGUAAUAUAUCUCAUGAAAAAUAAUUUAAAAUAAGAAUGAUUAUAUUAUCAAUUUAAAACUACAAGAAAUCAAUUAUAUAAAGUUAUUGACGAUUCAAGUUUAAUGAUCUAUUUAAUUUUUAUUUUAGGCCGUUAAUAUGCUUAAGCCGCUUCUAAAGAAAUUUUGGUAUUUUUUCAAAGAAUGAUGUAACAUAAAAGUUAUAAUAUAAUAUGUAUUUUACUUUAUCAGAAAAUAUCAAGAGAAUGUGGGAUGAACGCAUGAGUUAAUUUGACAAAGUUUAACCAUUCAUUACAAUAUUACUAAAAAUAAGGGAAAAGGGUCUAAUAUACCCUCAACUUUGUCAUUUGGAGCUAAUAUAUCCAUCGUUAUAAAAGUGGCUCAUAUAUGCCCUUACCGUUAUACAAACGGCUCACAUAUAUUCCUCACGUUACAAAAUGGCUCAUAUAUACCCUUUAUUUAACGGGAGUUAAAAACUUAGUUUUAAAUUUAUAUUUAUUACUUGUAAUUUUUUAAAAAAAAAUUAUUUAGGGGUAUAUAUGAUUCUUCUAUCAAAGUUCAAGGUAUAUUUUAAUUUUUUUCAUAUAUAAAUUAUUUUUUGACUUUUUUUAUUAUAAUUAUUUGAGUUUCUUAUUCUUAUGUUUUUUCUUUCAUUCCUUAGUUUAAAGAAAACAAAUUUAAACUAUUUUUUUUGUGUGUAUUGUAAUUUAAUUUCGUAUUUGAAGAAAAAAUUUGGUCACCUACAAUAAGUUUUACAAGAAUAUUAGUGAAACAUAAAUAAAUAUGAUUAUCAAAAUAAUAAUUAUAAAUUAGUCAUUGAAACAAAAAAAGGUCAAAAAAAAUAUGUUUGACGAGGAUUAAAUUUACUUAUAUGGAAUUAUAUUUUUUAGAAAAAAAUAAUAAAAAUUUAGAUUAAAAUUAUUAUUUUUUCCAUUUCCGAUAGAGGAAAAGGGUAUAUGUGAGUCAUUUCUUUACAAGUAGGGGUAUAUAUGAGCCACUUUCAUAACAAAGGGUAUAUCAACUCUAAGUGACAAAGUUGAGGGGUAUAUCAGACCAUUUUCCCUAAAAAUAAUAAUCUAUCUUAUUUAAUGGCUCAAUAAGUGAAUGAAAAGACGUGUUAAAAUUAAUGUAAUUAAGUAUUUUACUUUUACAAAUUAUGACUUACCCGACCUAACUUAGUACCAUAAGCUAAUAGCUUUCUCUACUAUAGCUUGCCAAACUAUAUAUGCUUUGAAGACCUUUACUAUUAAAAUAAAUUAUCAUAAGAUAAGGUGAACAAAUAUGUAAUGCUUCCGAUAGGGGCUAUUAACUAAUGAAAUACCUCAAAUAUUUGUAUAUUUUUACAAACAUAAGGGUUGUCCUACUUUCUUUAGAAUAAGUUGAUAAUAUAUUAGAUUGAUAGACCCCCUUCCUUUUGAACUGCUAAUUUUUAUUUGUCCAACAGAUAAAAAUAUCUUUUGAAAAAUAACACCAAAUUAGUUUAUUGUUCUUAUCAUAUAUUAUUUUUAUUUGUAUGGAUGUGAAUACAUGCAUGGGCCAUGGCCUGAUAAAUCUUGUUCGUCUUCAAAUUAAGCAUAGUUGGGCAAGCUAUACUAUAACACUAAAUCAAAAUUCACAUUUAGCGAUAUCUAAUUAAUGGUAAGUCGUUAAUAAUUUAAUAUUGUCGUUAAAUAUGUGUUUUUGAAGGUAAUUAGUAGUACUCUUUGUAUAUGUCUAUAGAGUCUGUAGUGAUAUUGAAUAUAAUGACGAUUAAUUAAUGUCGAUAAAGACUUUAAUUAUCAAUCUAUAUUAAUAUGUAUAUUUCUUGCCAUUAAAUGCUAUUUUUAUUUAAAAAACUUACAUAAAUAUACUUAAUUAAAAAAAACACUUACCAUUUAUAGUACUAACGUUUUUUUUUCACUUGAUCAUAAUGAUUAAUAACUUGCAAUAUUUCCUUCACACAACCUGAGUUAGGUUGAAAAUGAUCAACUUGAAAAUUGGGAUCACAAAAAAUAAUGUCGCAUCAUUUGACUUGACACGAUGUUUAACAAAAAAAAGACUUUUUAAAUUAACCCAUCCUUAAAUUGUAAAUCAUUUGUAAAAUAAAAGAAAAUUAAACAUUAAAUAAUUUUUAAAUUAAGUAUGAAAAGUUGUCACUGGUAUCAUAGUUGAAUUUAAAAGCUCAAUGAUCCUUUAUUGUGUUUGAGAGAGGACCUCGGCAUUCACAAAGAAAACUAAACAUUAAAUUAUUAUUUUUAAAUAUGUUGCUAUCAUAUUCUCAUUAAAAAAAAAGAGAAUGCACAAGUACUCCCUCAAUCUAUGUCCGAAAUUAUAGAGACAAACUUAUAUUAUACUAAACUCCUAUUACCCUCUGAACUUAUUUUAUAAGUUUCUCUACCCCUUUUCGACCUACGAGACACUAGUUUGAAAAAAAAAUCAACCAGAGUUGGGCUCACAAGAUAGUGCCACGUAAGUCAAAAAUAGAUAGAAAAUUAUUAAUAAAAUAAGUUUAGAAAAAUAAGAACCCUAUUAUAGUAUAAAAUUAUUAAUAAAAUAAGUUUAGAAAAAUAAGAACCCUAUUAUAGUAUAAAUAUGUCUCUGAAAUUUCACACAUAAAUUGAGGAGAUAUUGCACUUGUUUGUAAUUGAGAUAAUGGUAAUAAACCAAUCACUUCACCAUUUAUAUAUAUUUUUACAAACAUGAGGGUUGUCGUAAUAACUUAAUUACCAUUGAAUAUAUAUUUAAAGACAAUUAGCAAUACUCUUUAUAAAUAUCCCUGAAGACUACAGGGAUAUUGGAUGAAAUGACAAUUAACUAAUGUCAAUAUAGGCUAUAUAUAAUUAUCAACUUUUAUAUAAAUAUGUAUAAUUUUCGCAGCUAAAAGCUAUUUUUAUUUUAGUGCAGAUUACAUAUAUGUAGACCUUAAAUAGACAAAUUAAUCUAAUUGUCCUAAUUUAGGUCGGAUAAGUGAGAAUUUGUUGGAGUAAAAACUUAUAUGAAUUAAAGUAAUUUUAAGGUGUUAAAAUCUCUUUUCAUUCAAUUAUCUGAGCCAUUAAAUAACAUAAAUUAUUGUUUUUAAUAAUAAAAAUUGUUAUAAUGAAUGUGGAAAAAUGCACAAGUACCCCGUCAAUCUAUGCCCGAAAUCUCAGAGACACAUUUAUACUAUACUAAGGUCCUAUUACCCCCCUAAACUUAUUUUAUAAGUAAUUUUCUACCCCCUUUUGGCCUACAUGGCACUAGCUUGAAGAAAAAAGUCAACCAGCGUUGGGCCCACAAGAUAGUGUCACGUAGGCCGAAAAGUUGUCGGUUAGGUAAUUUCUCAAAAAAAUUAUAAUACUUUCAAAUAUAUGAGUAAAGUUGAGUUUAUUAUUGAUUUAUCUUUACUGGACUAAGUGUUUACACUGUUUUACAAGCUUUCCUUAUAUCGCAUGUGUCCUUACUGCUCUAUAUUGAGUUGUUAUUUCAUGAGUUGAGCAGAACCAAUGUAAGUUCAUCCUUACUCCUUUCAAGCCUUUUAGUAGUGUUUAGCAUUCCAAUUCGCACACUCGUACAUUCAAUGUACUGAUGCCAGUUGGCUUGCAUGCAUCGUCUUAUAAUGCAGAAGCAGGUAAUCAGGAUAUGCAGCGCUUCGUUGAUCCAGUUUGAGCUCUAGAGUCAGUGGUGAGCCUCCUUGCAUUCCGGAGGAUCCUUUUAUUGCUAUCUAGUUAGUUCAAUAGAAUGGUGUGGGGUUUGUCCCAACAUUCAUCUCAGUCAGUUUAGAGGCAUCAUAGACUGAUAAUUAGUAGUUAAGUUGUGUCUCUUCAUUUCAGAUUCUAUAUUUGAGACUUAAGUGCAAAUUUGGUCAAGACAGUAUUUAAAGUCAUUUUAUGAGAGCUUUUCCAAUUCUAUAAUUGAGUUAAGUUGAGUCUUCCGCUGAGUUAAGUAAGUCAGGCCAAAAGUUCGCUCGAGGCCAGCAAUAGUCACCAAGUGCUAGUCCCACCCAGAGUAUAGGCUCGAAGCGUGGCAAUAUAUACAUUUCAUAUACGACUUACAUAUUCAGAUAUUUUUGACAUUUUGUUAGAGCGGAAGAGUCUUAACUUACAUAUUUAGGUGAAGUAUUGAUAUUUUGGGAUAUUGGUACUUAUUAUUAUUUUACUUUACUACUUAUUUAUAAGUCUACAACACACGGUAAGCACACACAAGGUGCAAAACAUGUGCUCGAAGUAAAUUUAAUUUGAAUGAGGUUAAUUUGGUCAUUUAUAUAAUACUCAAUGCUUUUUUUACUUGUACAAAAUGAAAAAUUGUUUUUUAUGGACAUCAAAUGACCAAAACUCCAGUAUUCUUUAACUCAAUUGUCAUAUGUUAUAGAACAUUGCAAUUGGUUGAAAAUCAACUUUAAUGUAGUUGCAAUAUAAUUAUUUUUACUUCUUGUCAAAACUGCCCCUAUGCGGCUUAAGCUUAUUUUAUUAACCAUGUGUUAUUACGUGGAGAAAUUAAAGACAUCUUCAGAUGAGUCAUUUUAAGCGGUAUCGACCUAGAUAUAUAUAUAUAUAUAUAUUCUUUUUGUUUUAUUUAUGUCAUUCUUAUUAAAAAUAGGUUAUAUUUAAUAUUUGUCAUUUCAUAAAAGUAAUGCACUAUAUAGUAAUGCUAUUAUGUUUAUUUUACACUUCUAAAUUAUUAAUCUUGAAGUAUAGAAAGCUAAGUAACUAAUUCAUGUUUAUUGGUCAAAUUAAAUAGUCAAAAUAAAUAAAUUCAUGUUUAUUGAUUGAAAACUUGACUUCAAAAAACAGUAAGAAUAGAAUAAAACUUAGCUUAGUUUCGUAAUACACAUGAAAUCUAAAAUAGUGACAUAUAAAUAAGAUUGGAGAGAGUAUAAGUUAAUUCUCUAUUUGUGUCAUACAAAUAGAGAAUUAAGAUAUUUCCUCCAUUACUUUUUAUACGACAUCCUUAUUAUAAAUAGUUAGUCUAUAAUAUUUGUCAAUUCAUAAAAUCAAUGUAUAAAUUAGAGUACGGAGACUUAAGGGUGAAUAAUAUUGACAAAAUUUUCAAAAGGGUAUGUCAAUUUUUUUAAAAAAAAUUAAAACGGUAAAAUCGCUACUAAUGUAGCGAUUUAUUUGGCCAGCAUUAUGACAAAUCGCUGCUCGAGUAGCGAUUUGCACAAUUUUUUUUAAUUUGAAAUCGCUAUCUCAUCUGCGAUUUUUUGUUUUUUUUAAAAGGGAUAAUGCCCAAGUACUCCCUCAACAUAUGCCCGAAAUCUCAGAGACAAACUUAUACUAUACUAAGGUCCUAUUACCCUCCUGAACUUAUUUUAUUAAUAAUUUUUUACCCCUUUUUAGCCUACGUGGCACUAUCUUGUGGGCCCAACGAUGGUUGACUUUUUUUUUCCGAACUAGUGCCACGUAGGCUAAAAAGGGGUAGAAAAUUACAUAUAAAAUAAGUUUCGGGGGGUAAUAGGACCUUAGUAUAGUAUAAGUGUUUCUCUGGGAUUUCGGGCAUAGGUUGAGGGGGUACUUGGGUAUUUUCCCUUUUUCAAAAAAAAGUUUUUUUAUGAUAAAUCGCUGCCAAGGCAACGAUUUUGUUAAUGAUUUUUUUUUAAAUUGUAAAUCGUUGCCCGAGCAACGAUUUUAGUUAAAAAGAUUUUUUUUGUUUUUUGAUGUAAAACGCUGUCAAGGCAGCGAUUUCACUUUAAUUUUUUUUAAUUUUCUUACGUAAAUUGCUGCCAAUUUUGUCAAUUUUUUUAUAGUUUUUUUAAUUGUGUCGUAAAGCGCUGCAAUUGCAGCAAUUUUUUGUUUUUUUUUUAAAAAAAGAUUCAAUAUUGUAAAUUGUCUUUGCACGACUUUAUUGUAGCUAUAAUGAAAUCUACGUAGUACAAAAUUGAAAUUGUAUUUCAUUAAGUAAAAAGAUAGAAGGGUUUAACUAGGGGUGGGCAUAAACAACAGAAAAUCUAAACACCGAAUCGAAUCAAAAUUUUUCAAAAUUUUGGUUUCGAUAUUUCGGUUUUCGGUUCGUUGUUCGGUUUACUUUUUUAUAUUUUUCGGUAUUUCGAUUCGAUUUUCGGUAUGUAUUAUAUUGGUUUUUGGUAUUUCGGUUUAAAUCGAAAUAUUAUACUAUAAUUUAUAUUAUAUUAAUUAAUAAUUAUUAAUAUUAAAUAAUUUUUUAAAAAAAGAAACCCUAUGGUCCUAUUCCUCUCUCUUUCAUCUUUCUCCUAAUUUUCUCUUGGUCUUUCAUCUUCCUCUUGGCUCUUUCCUCUUCCUCUUCUUCAUCUUCCUCUUCUCCUCUUCCGCCAGCCAGAAGCAGCUGCUGCAGCCGCGCCGUCCGCCAGAAGCAGCAGUAGCAGCCGUGCUGUCUGCCAGAAGCAGCAGCAGCAGCAGCCGCGCCGUCUGCCAUCAAGCAGCCAGCAGCCGCGUCGUCUGCCAUCAAGCAGCCAGCAGCCGCGCCGUCCGCCAUCAAGCAGCCAGCAGCCGCGCCGUCUGCCAUCAAGCAGCCAGCACAUCGCGCCGUCUCAGCCAGUCAGGUUUGGAUUUUGUUAUUUUUUUUUGUUCUUGACUUCUUUCGUUUUUUUCUUUCUGAUUUUAUUUUUGCUACUAGUUAUUGUGAAUUUAGUGUGAAUUUUUUUAUAUAUAUAGAUGGUUGAACAAAAACAAUUAAAUAUGGUUGUAGCUGAGCAAAGUCGAAUAAGUAUGGCUGAUUUUACGGAUAAUACACUUAGUAAUAGCAAUGAUCCGUCAAUUGGCACAGAAAUAACAAAAAAAAAAGAAAUGGAUCCUAGAUCUACUGUUUGGCAACACAUUGUAAAGGUUUUUGAAAAUGGUGUAUUAGUUAAAGCAAAGUGCUUAUAUUGUAAACAAUACUAUGCUGCCAAUACAACAAGAAAUGGAACAAGUGGACUAAAACAACAUUUGACUUAUCGGUGUAAAGUGUAUAAACCUCCGACUGUUGCACCGGUAUUCAAAAAUUAUUACAUAUUCAAAAUAACAAUUUAGAGACUUGGAAAUUUGAGCAAGAGGUAUGUAGGAGAGCUUUAGUUGAGAUGAUUAUUUUGGAUGAACUACCUUUUAGUUUUGUUGAAAAAGAAGGUUUUAAGAAGUUUAUGAGUAAAGUCCAGCCUUUGUUUCAUAUUCCUUCUCGUAGAAACAUAACAAGGGAUUGUUAUGAAGUUUAUGGUGAAUUGAGAAUAAAUUUGAAACAAUCUUUAAGAGAAAUACAACCAAGAAUUUGUCUCACAACAGACACAUGGACUUCAGUGCAAAGAAUCAAUUAUAUGUGUUUGACUGCUCACUUUAUUGAUAGGGAUUGGGUGCUUCAUAAAAGAAUAUUGAAUUUUUGUCCUAUCACUAGUCAUAAAGGUGAGCAUUUUUGGCUGAGUCUAUUAGUAAUUGUUUACUUGAUUGGAAGUUGGAUAACUUUUUUACUGUUACGGUUGAUAAUGCCUCUUCAAAUGAUGUGGCAGUUUUAGAGUUGUUCAAAAAAUUAGAUAUGUGGGAAACUAAUUUGAUAGAAGAUAAGCAUUUCCAUGUGAGAUGUAUGACUCAUAUACUUAAUCUAAUUGUGCAAGAUGGUUUGAAUGAAAUUAGUCCUUCUAUCAAAGGGUGAGACAAAUGGUGAAAUAUUUUAGAUCAUCUUCUUCGAGGACAAGAAAUUUCUUGAAAUGUGUUGAAAUGCAAAAGAUAGAAUGUGAUAAGUUGUUGUCUUUAGAUGUGCCUACUAGGUGGAAUUCCACCUAUUUGAUGUUAAACACAGCAGAAAAGUGUGAGAAGGCUUUUAGAGGUUUGAUCUUUACGAUGGUAAUUUUAAUUCUUUUCUUGCUACUAAUGUUUGUGAAGAUGGAAGUAUCGCAGGGUCAAAAUAAUAUGAAGAUUGGGCUAAUGUGAGGAAUGUCACAAAGUUUCUUGAAAAAUUUUAUGAACUCACUUUGAAAGUUUCAGGUUCACGGUAUGUUACUUGUAAUGUUCAUUUUGAAGAUAUAUGUGCACUUGAUGCUUAUUUGAAAUUAUGUAUAGCAAGUGAUGACCUUGAUUUGAGUAAAAUGACUUUGGGAAUGAAAGAAAAAUUCAAGAAAUAUUGGGGUACUCCUGAAAGAAUGAACAAAAUAAUUUUUAUUGCUUAUGUUUUGAAUUCUCACAAUAAAUUUGUGUAUGUUAGUUUUGCUCUUGAAGAAUUACUUGGAAAACGGAAAAUGUAGUGAAUACGAAAGUAGAGUCUUACUUGAGGGAUUUGUUUGCGAUAUAUGUAAGUGAGUAUGGAAAAGGUUCCAAAAGUCAACCAUCUUCAUCUGACUCAUCUGAUUCUUCUGCUUGUGGUAUUUCUCAAAAUGUGUCCAAAAAUUCUUUGAGAACUAAGUUGCACAUGAAAAACAAAAGAAUGAUUCUGGAAGUUUAGGUGUUAAAUCCGAGUUGGAUAAAUAUCUUCUUGAAGACCAAGAACCUGAAUCUGGAGAUUUUGAUAUUUUGAGUUGGUGGAAAGUUAAUUCUCCUAGAUUUUCUGUACUUUCACAGUUGGCUCGAGAUGUAUUGGUUAUUCCUAUGUCGAGUGUGGCAUCGGAGUGUGCAAUUAGCACUGGUGGUCGAAUUCUAGAUCCCUUUAGAAGUUCAUUGACUCUCAAAUGUGUGCAAUGUCUUAUUUGUGUCCAAGAUUGGCUUAGACAAGAAACCAAGCCUAUUUGUGUUGAAGAAAGUUUGGAGUUUCUUGAAAAAAUUGAACUUGGUAAGAUUUUUUAUUUCUUAUUUAUUUUUUUAAAAAAUAAAAUACUUGUUGUGUUCUAUCUUGUAUGACAUGUUUAUUUUUCUUAAUUAUAGAGAUGACAAAUAGUGGAAGAAACUCUUCCAUUGUUGAUCUAUGAUUGACUUGCAAGCGUUGAGUUUAAUACAUCAUUUAUUUAAUCAUAUCAUUUUUAAUCUUAAAAGUAGUAUUCUAAGUUUCUAAUAUUUGAUUUUAUCUUAAAAGUUCCAAGGGUCAAGACAAUGAAGAAAUAAUUUUGUUGACAUGGAAGAAAGUCAAGAAACUCAUUAUUGUUGUUUGUUAUUGUUGACAUUUGAAUUGAAAGUAAUCUCAUGGAAGAAGACAAGAAGUUUAAAAUACAUUGUUUGUUUCUUAUUAUUGUUUAUUAUGAGCUCAUGAAAGACUUUAAUGUUACUUGUUAGAUUGUUAUUAUGUUGUAUUUGUGAAGACAUUAACUACAAAUCUACAAUGCAACUUUUGUUUUAGUUUCAUUGUUAAUUAAAAAUUGUGUGUUUUAGUGAUAUUGUGAAUUUAAAAUUUGUGGUGUUAAUGCCUAAUGGCAUAUUGACAUAUUGAUAUUUGGUAGUAAAUUAGUAAUGCACUUCUUUGAUGUAUUGUCUAUUUUUACUUUUUAGCCCAUUAAGUUGAAAAAUCAAACAAAUAAAUUGUAAAGUUUAAAAUUUUAAAAAGCCCACUAAGCAGGCCCAUUAAAAAACCAAUAUAAAAAAAAUCGAAUUAAUAAAAACCGAACCGAAUUAACAAAAAUCGAACCGAACCGAAAUGUUUCGAUUUGAUAUUCGGUACACAAUUUACAAAAACCGAAAACCAAAAAAUAAACCCGAUACCAAACUGAAAUACCAAAUGCCCACCCUUAGAUUUAACAACAAAACAAACUAAUUAAAUUUUAGCUUACAACCCUGAAAUACUACUAAUAAUAAUGAUAGUAAUAAUAAUAAUAAAACACUACUACGACAAGAAUCAUGAACUACAUACAUAAUAAGAAAGAAUAGACAAACAAAAAUUUGGAUACAACCUUGAAAUAACUAGAUAAUAGAAAUUUGGAUAUUCAUUAAACUAUAUAUAGUGAAUAUUCUGAUACUAUAUUGCCUAAUUCUCGUUUCUAGGUACAUCAUCUAUGACAAACACGCCUAUUGAAACCCUUCGUGGAGGCGUAUAUCGGUGCUCAAUCCUUUUAUAACGAGGCGUAUAUAAAUGCUAAACUGCAAUGUUAAGAAAUAUAUGAUGACCUUUUUCCUUUAUUUCUUUUUGUGUUAAUACUAGAACUAGAAUAGAUCAAUUGAUGUUCAUAACAAAUUCUAACACCUCACUCAUAAUGAAAUUGAUCAUAAUUUAAAGUACUAAAUCAUGCUAAAAUAAGUUAAGUAAGUAUUAGUUACAUGACUAAAUAUUAAAAGAAAAGAAAAUUAGAUCAUGUAUUUUUAAUGUCUAAAUCUAUGUAAAACUAAAAAAUAAAUAUUCGAUAUUAUUGUCAUUCUUAGUGUUGAAUUGAUUUGCUUUUUGAAUUAUUAUUAAUUUGAUUUUUAUUUAAACUUUAUUAUAAUUACCAACAUGUAUGGACUAGAAUCUUUAUUUGAUUAUUAAGAAUUCUAACUUCCAAACAUGAAAUAAAUAUAGUAAAAGAUAAAAACUGUGAAAAAGUAUAAGAGAUAUUUAAAAACUUACAUCAAAGUAAGAUUUUUACGUAUAAAAUAAAAAUUUUAAAUUAUAUAUAUAAUGUCGGGUUGGUUUGGUCUCGGGUUGGUUUAUUUUAGUUGAAAUCAACCCAACCCAAAUAUAGUCGGAUUUUUUUUUCCAACACCAAAUCAAGUCAAACCAAACCACUAGUCAGGGUUUUUUUUAUUUGACUAGAUUUGCGGUUUAGUUUAAUUUUCGAUUCGUUUUUAUACACUCGAUUUGCGAUUUAGUUCGAUUUUGACUUUUGUAGAUAAAAUCUGCAAAAAGAAAUAUGGAUAGAUUUCUCAAAGUUGGAAGGAAAAAAUAUUUUCAAACCAAAACAGUGCUUAGGGGUAGAACUUUUCAUCUUGAUAUUCUAUCAAUGGACAUAGUCAAGCAGGUUUGUGAGUUACUACGGUUUCAGGGGUGGGAGGAACUAUUUCUUGAACCUAAUCUUAUUUAUGAACAAGAAGUAGUAGUUUUUUACACAAAUUUAACAAUCUUGGAAGGGGAUGUAGUAUCUUCUAGUGUGAAGGGAGUUGAGAUUGUUUUUGAUGCAACUAAGCUUGGGGAAAUUUUACAUAUACCAUUUGUGGGUAUUAAUGAUUAUCAUUGGGCUUUUGAUGAACAUUUUAGUCUUCCAGCUAAGUUUUCUCAAGGUAGAGUCAAUUCUAGGGCACAGACUGUGUUAAAAGGUAUCAUGGGAUCAGUUCAUAAGCUUCUCUUUGAGAUAAUACAUAAGGGAAUACUGCCCAGGCGUCACCAACGUCACAUUGCUUCUAUAAAGACAUGGGACUUAUGAAUGCUCUUGAAUGUAAAGAACGUAUUGACUGGCCCACAUUGAUCAUCAAACACUUUGCUAGAAUUGUUGAUCCUAAACUAGGUUCUCAUCAAUUACCAUUUGGGAAUCUUUUAACUAGACUGUUUGAUGCGUUUGAAGUACCAUUGGGAGAAGGAAGGGUUUUGACUCGUGCAGAUAUGUUUACUCAAACCAUUCUUGCUGAUUGUGGCAUUCCCAUGGAAUCAGAGCAAGUUGUUAAUGUUUCUCCACGUACAUCUGGUCCUGUUGCUCAAUUACUCAGGGAACUCAAAGUGGAAGAAGAAAAGUAUGUCACCCUUGAAUUGGAAAACCAAAAUUUACGUGCUGAACUUCAUACUUCAAAUGCUGAGAUUCACAGGUUGAAAGAUCAGUUGGUGCAGAAGCAGCUUGCUAACAAUGCAAGGGUUGACAGAGUUCUGGACAUGCUUGCUUUUGCCUCCACCAAGCCUAGUCAAUAUUCAACUUGAAAAGCAUCAUGUUUGCACCUGGUUCUUUUUACUCUGUGUUGAUAUUCCUCUUUGUGUUUCCAGAACACUUUAUUUUGCUCAACUGGCUGAGCUUCACUUGUUUCUGUGGAUGUUAUCUUAUUUUGUUUAGCUAAUAUUGGACUCUUUUUGAUUUGUCAAAAGGGGGAAGAUUAUUAUAAGUGCAUUACACAGGUUUGUCUUCAUCAAAAAGGGAAAAUAUGUUAGAAUCUGAUAAUUCUAUAAACAGAUAAAAUUAAAGUUUUGAUAAUAGACAAGAAAUGCAAAUAUAUGGAUAAAAAGGUUUGCCAGAUUCAUCGCCAAAUUUGUCGCAACAAGAAGCCACCUGAACUAAUUAUAGCAGUCACUAGAAGUAUACAAUUAAGUGUACAAGAGCUAAAGAUGCUGAAAAUUCAAGUUGAGACAAAUAAGGAAUCCUUAAUACAUUAAGUAAGGAAGUUGUAUAGAAAAAGGAUUGUACAAUAAAAGGUAAAAUCAGUACUCCUUGUUUAACUAUAAUUACAAUUUCCUUACCUUAUUUGAUAAGGAUUCAAGGCACGAGAAGGCAGGAGAAAACUCUAUAAAUAGAGAUCAACAACAGAAGAAGAGGACACGACUUUUACAUAGAGAGAAAAGCGAGAGUUAUUCAUCAAGUAAAAGCCUUCCAAGAUCGAUAGGUCUUGCUAAGUUCAAAGAAGUUCUUGAGUUAGAAAGUCUUGAACGUGUAAAACUAUUUUCUUGAUUCAUUGUUGAGUUGUUAGUUACGUUUUCGUACAAGAAGUGGGUUUGGCUUCUUGUAGAGUUGAGCUUUGGUGAGGUUUGUAACAAAAGGUGGGUUUGGCCUUUUGAGAGUAGAAGUAGUCGAUUAUAGUUAAUCGAGAGUUGUUGUAGUGGUGAGGUUAUUGAUUAUUGAGUUGUAAUCAUAAAAUCAUCCAGUUGAAUUAAUAAAACGAGGUUUUUCCUUCCUUGAUUGAGGAAGGUUUUUAAUUUAACAAGUGUUUGUGUUCUGACUUAAACCAACUUACAAGAACUAGUUCUUAUUCUAGGGGAUAGGUUUCUUCACUUGACAAUCAUGCGCAAUUUUUUAUUUUGGUUGACUAUAAGCGGAAUGCUAACUCAAGCAUAUGUAAACAUCCAAUUGAAAGAAAUGUUUAAAAAUAAUUUUCUGAAUAUCAAAAUUUUUCUGAAUAUAAUGAGUAUGAAACAUUUAAAUAAAAUAUCUGAAAUUGAAAAACUCUCCAAAAUUUUCUAUCUAUGAAGCCUCUACAGUACAAAGGUGAGUGUCGGAACAAGAUCAACGACUACACAAAAAACUAUUACUAACAAGUCAUACGUUCUUAAUUAGUAAGUUAUAUAUACGUUAUUUCAAUAAUACUUUCGAUAUUAUGAAAAUAUAAUGUCAAUCUUUAAAGACAAACAUUUACAUACCAUGAGAACGACUUUUAUUAUUAUUAUUUUUAUUAUACGUUCUUUUCUCACUUGGGAUAUAAAUAUGCAUUUUUUCAUAUCAACCAAAAAAUUUGAUAUAAUAAAUUUAAUUUUUACUAUGUCAAAAAGUAUUAAGAAAAAGUGUCACAAUCUAAAAUUUCAAAUUAUGAUAGGCAUUUACUAACAUCAUGCCAACAGAUAAGCCGAACUUAUACACAAUCUAAAUUUCAAAUUAUGAUGGCUGGCAUCUACUAACAUCUUGCCAAUAGAAAAGCUGAACUUUAAAUAUAUGUUAAAGAGAAAAGACAUUAAGAGACAGUUGAAGUUGUUUUGAAUUUUUAAAAAUAUAUUUUAACUAUGUAGAUAUCUUAUUAUUUCCUAAACUAUUUUGAAUAUAUAUUAUUACAUCAUUUUUGAAUCAGUUCUAGAUUUUAAAUGACAAGUGUAAUCACAUAUCAAUCAUUGUGUGACACGUGUUAAUUCAAUUUGAAAUAUUACUUCUUUUCAUUUUAAGUUUUCUUUAUCUUACUUUUUGACUUAUUUUAGUUUUAUUAUUUUUAUUUGGGAUAAUGCACAAGUACCCCCUCAACCUAUGCCCGAAAUAUCAGAGACACACUUAUACUAUACUAAGGUCCUAUUACCCCCCUGAACUUAUUUUAUUAAUAAUUUUCUAUCCCUUUUUGGCCUACGUGUCACUAUUUUGUGAGCCCAACGCUGGUUGAUUUUUUGACUUUUGUGAUCUGUAGUAAGAAAGUCUUUUUUCCAUUAAACUUAUUUAUUUUAUUGUAUUUUUGUAGGAAAGAAGGGGACCUUAUAUAAUUUUUUGAUUUAGAGUUUGUUGUAUCUUUGUUAAAAAAGUGGGUUCCUAUUAUCAUAUAAAUAUGCAUUGCUUUAUAAUGAGUGAACUAUAAAUUGUAAUAAAUUAUAAAGUUGAAGAGUAUAUCAAGACUUUUUAUGGACUUUGGUAUUUAGAGAUUUUGUUAAUUAAAGUAGAGGAGUCGUAUAUAUAGGUGAAUAUUGAUAUGUUGCAUGCAACAUGUGUUAUUUAUUUUAAUGUAUGUAUGUAUUAUUGAGUAGUUAAACGUGUUGGGAGCCAUUUUUUCUUGCGUGCAUAUAUGCAUUUCAUGACAUAUAUAAUAAUAAUAAUAAGAAGAAGGCAGAAAUGAAUUGAAAAUAAAGGAAGUAGUUAAAAUAUUAUCCAAUCUCACCAUUUAUUUAUUAUAAAAUAUUAGAUACGAUACAUAAUUAAUUAAGAGAUGGAUGAGGUUUUUUUUUGUAUAUAUAUACUCACUUCAUUUAUUUAGGUGUGUGUGAGUGAGUGAUGAUGGAGUAGUCCUAGGUAAUAGUAACGGUUGCUAGAGAUGUAAGUAUCCCCAAACUUGCUGCCAAAGUUUGACCCACCGCAUCCUGAAGUAAGUUUCCAAUAAGGAUAACGGGAGCUACAAGGUUUCCUGUGGUUGGAGUCAAAGUGCAAUUAGCAAUUGGGAGAGGAAUCCUUGCAAUACAUGUUCCUGACAGAAGACUUGUAUUGGUGGACACUGCAGCAUUAAUAAUGCCUUGACUAUUUGCGGACACUUGAGCAAUCGUUGUGUUGCCACAAAUAAUCGUUACAUUUGCUCCAUUCACUCCGACGCCUGGGGCAUUACUUCCUGGUACGGAGCAAGACAAACUCCCCAAUAUAGUUAAAUUAAUAUUCGUUGGUAUAAUCGGUGGUACUUGACCACCAACAGGUGGUACAAUCGGUGGUAUACUAAUGGGUGGUACAAUCGGUGGUAUAUUAAUGGGUGGUACAAUGGGUUGGCCAAGAAUAGGACCAACAAUUGGACUGAGAAUAGAACCAACAAUCGGUAAUUGGCCAAGACCAACAGGUGGCACUUGACCAACGGGUGGUACAAUAC
rnacentral:lncRNA from 1 species